rnacentral:rRNA from 1 species
UGGGGAAUAUUGCACAAUGGGGGAAACCCUGAUGCAGCGACGCCGCGUGAACGAAGAAGGUAUUCGUAUCGUAAAGUUCUGUCCUAUGGGAAGAUAAUGACAGUACCAUAGAAGAAAGCUCCGGCUAAAUACGUGCCAGCAGCCGCGGUAAUACGUAUGGAGCGAGCGUUGUCCGGAAUUAUUGGGCGUAAAGGGUACGCAGGCGGUUUAAUAAGUCGAAUGUUAAAGAUCGGGGCUCAACCCCGUAAAGCAUUGGAAACUGAUAAACUUGAGUAGUGGAGAGGAAAGUGGAAUUCCUAGUGUAGUGGUGAAAUACGUAGAUAUUAGGAGGAAUACCAGUAGCGUAGGCGACUUUCUGGACACAAACUGACGCUGAGGUACGAAAGCGUGGGGAGCAAACAGG